AGCACAACCUUCAGCUCUAGCAGCUAAGCUGUCUGCAAUCCUGCUUUGUGCUCCCUGACAGCACGGGAGGAUGACCCACUACGAUGAAGGCCCAGAUAAAGACAAAGAAGAGAAAAGGAGAAAUUCAAAUGAAAAUAAAUCAUAUCCCCAAAUAUCAAGGCUCAUAAGCUGGAUGAUUUAAUUCAAUCAAUUUAGCAAGGCCCGAAAUGAAACCUGGUAAUGAAAAUGAAGACACAGCAAUAUUUUCCUGAAGAAAAUAGACAUUUGGAAGAAAUAUUUUCUUAAAAAAUGUUUAUUUGGAAAAGUCAGCCUCUUACACAAGGUUUUGUAUCUAUGCUUUUAACUCUGUCAAUUACAGUGGUAUUUUAAAUGCAUUGAAUAUAAUUCAUUGAAUAUCUAUAUCUUUCUGCCUCGAUUUAAGUGAUAUUAGGUUAAAAAAAUAUUUACAGUUUUCAUUCUGGUCCACCUUCCCUCCUUAUCCUUAUACUGAAUCAAUUUCUCUAAUUUUCAGGUAAGUGAAAGGGGUCACGAAAUUUCUAGGUUUGUGUGGAGAGUAAGAAUGCAUCCAACAAUUCAACAACGAUUUUCUGUAAGGCCUUCUCUGAAAAAAGAGAAAGAAUUACUUAUUAAAACUAAGCACACUUAGCAACUUCUUUCCCAAUCCUAUCUUUAUUCGUUUGUCUGGUGCCAAAUUUUUCUGGCCCUUUUUAAUUUGCCAACAUUAAAAAAUAAA